rnacentral:rRNA from 1 species
GACGAACGCUGGCGGCGUGCUUAACACAUGCAGGUCGAACGGACAGACAGAGAGCUUGCUCUCUUGAAGUUAGUGGCUAACGGGUGAGUAACGCGUAAUCAACCUGCCCUUCAGAGGGGGAUAACAACGGGAAACCGUUGCUAAUACCGCGUAGGAUUCAUGAACGGCAUCGUUUAUGAAGGAAAGUAGGCCACUAUGUAUCAGCUAUCGCUGACGGAGGGGAUUGGGUCUGAUUAGCUAGUUGGAGGGGUAACGGCGAACCAAGGCAAUGAUCAGUAGCCGGUCUGAGAGGAUGAACGGCCAGAUUGGGACGGAGACACGGCCCAAACUCCUACGGGAGGCAGCAGUGGGGAAUCUUCCGCAAUGGACGAAAGUCUGACGGAGCAACGCCGCGUGAGUGGUGAAGGUCUUCGGAUUGUAAAGCUCUGUUAAUCGGGACGAAAGAGUUCUGCGUGAAUAAUGCAGAAAAGUGACGGUACCGGAAUAGAAAGCCACGGCUAACUACGUGCCAGCCGCCGCAGUAA